GGCUUUUUUCUUCUUCAAAAGAAGGGAGCGCAGUUCACACAGCCGCAAGGGCCUUCUGCGAGUCUUUUAAGGGUAGGUCUUUGUCCCCAAAUUAUCAGGGCAUAGCGGUUUGCUUUGCGAAGAAUCAAGGUGAUGUCGAAGAACAAGAGAAGCCUACUCAAUGGGUACUCGAGGCUACGCGAGGGGACAGGUGAAGAGUUGGCCUCCGUGUUUCAGACUCUCGACUGUGGCAAGCAAAAACGAUCCAAUCUUCCAAUCGACUUCCAUGGAAACCUUUGUGAGUGAAUGCGGGUUGGGUUUGAUGAAUGGAAGAGAACUAAAGGGUAGCAAUAAAAAGCCUCUAGAUUUCGUAGGGAGUAGGGGUUGCGAGGGUUUCUUGCCUUGUGGUUUGCCAGGUCAGAACCACAUUUUCGGAAGAGGGCGAUGAAGAUGGUAUGCAGGCAGAUUGUGUGCCCAAUGACUGCCCGGCUUGUUGCUGCAGAUGGAUUUUGUGGUUGUAAAUGAUGUUUGCCUUACUCAUCUGUGUGUACUGUCUUCCUAUUCCUGUCCUUUUAUCUCUUUAUUUCAGCCUAGUUCUAAAACUUAAAAAAUUGAUUGAAUUUGCAGUUGGUUCAAUACUGUUAACUUGUUAGCUUUCAUGAUACUGUAUAUUAUUGACUCAUAACUCCAUUAUGUUGGAAUGUGUUCUUAAUGAGAAAUAACACUUGUUGGGUUAAGAGUAGUAGUGUUGGCACUGCCAUAUAAUUCUGGGGUUUUUCAGUAAAUUUCAACGUUUAGGUCACUACUGACCAUAGGAGAACAAGAAAAGGAUGGGUUCAUAAGGUUGGUGAUUAGUGUAAAACUGACCCAAAUUCUUAUAGAUAUAUUGGGCUUGAUCUAUUAUCUCAAAAUUUGAUACUUAAAAGUAUUGCAAUUAAAUAUGGAGAUAACUAAACAAGGAUAGGGAAGAAAGAAGAUGAUGAACUACAGCAGGUACUUAUGACAGCUGCCAUAUCAAGAUGUUCUCCUGGUGCAGCAACUUGUUGUUGUGCUGAGCUUCUAGGAUAUGCCUGCAUGACUAUACAAUGAAUCUGUUGGCUGAUUCCUUCUCUGUUCCCAGAUUUCUUCUCUGUUCCCAGAUUUCUAGGUUCAAAUUCUGAAAAUGCAAAAAUUUAUUUCCCUUCUAUGAUUUAUUUUUUCAAAUUUGCAGUUUUUUUGUUAUCUUUUUAAUAAGAAUGUGUUUAUUAAAUUAAUUUAACUCGUCUUAUUUAGGACUGAUUGUGAUGCUUAUGCAAGUUGUUAAUCAAUUUAAGUGAAUUUUUCUUAUGCAGAAAUAUAGUAAUGACCAUUGAAAAAACACGUGUUUUCUCUGAGUUGGGUGGGUUAAAUGAAGCCUUUUGAAUCAAUUCAUGAAGGCCAAAUCCAUUUUGUCUUUAAGGAGUUUUAUUAAUGGCUGGUUGACAAGUUAAUAUCUUACACGAACUGUGUGUCCUGUUGUGAAUUCCUUGUAUUUGGAUUGGUGACAACCUGUGUUACGUUGACAUCUUAGGUUGUAGUUUAUUAGAGUACCUUGGGAGGGAUGGGAAGUAUUGUGUCUAUGGGAAGCCCUCAUCAUUGCAUUUGGGUUAUGAUGCUAAAGGUCAUUUCUAGAAGAAAACUAGCCUAGUGGGUUGUGGACAAAAUUAUUCAUGCUGAAUGGCUUCUCAUAAUGGGAUUUACACCUUAUAUAUUCAAGACUGCCGACUGGAGUUGAGAUACUACCCACCCUUGGUCUAUUGAUGAUGAGACUUCAUUGGCUUCUCCUCUUGGUGAAACUCUCAGAAAGUUUUAAUGAGAUUGUGUGCUUUAUCUAUCUCUAUUCUCUUGAAUGGUUAAAUUUCAAUAUUUUCUCUUUUAGGUGGGACUUUUAGAGGGCUUUAUCGAGAAUUUAAGGUUUUCUCUAUCUCUUUCUUCUCCAUCUUCUUCUCGUGUUUGGCUUUUUGCCCUUCUGCUCUAGAUAACCCAACCUCAAUUACUGAAUCAACUUCUCUUAAUCACUGAGCGUAGACAUUUGGAACUUACUGAGUUAUCAACUUUAAUUCUCGAGUCUAUUAUAAAUAGACCAUCAUUUUAUCUCUCUCUCUCCCUAUAUAUGUGUAUGUAUGUAUGUAUGUAUGUAUGUAUGUAUGUUUCAUAUAUAGAGUUUUCUCUUUGUCUCCUUCCUCUGCAAGUCCCUGUUUCUUGAAAAUUUAGAAAAUUGUUGAUGAUCAGCUACAAGCCUGUUAUACAUAUGAAUUCCAAUCAAUGAUCAAGUCUAUCAUAGAUUCAUAUAUGCAGUUUGAUAGUUCUAUCUCAAGGUAUUAGGCAUGUGGCUUGAUGUUCCUGCAGAUGGUAUUAUCAGCAGACAUGUGGAAUUUAAAUUCUUGAUCUUGCUGUUAAUGCUGUUUUCUUCUGGCAUGACAUCCCUUUUGCUUGUUUAAUGGUUUUCAAUACAUCAUGUUUCUUGUGAUUAAAAUGUUCUCCUAGCUUUGAAUGGUCUUUUUUCUUUAUUGUUUGUUAAUUUCCACAGGUCACUAGCCAAAGUGGGCUAUUAUCUUUCAAUAAUUGUUAUUGUUCUGUUAAGAUUCAUAGUAGAAUGACUCCCUCAUCCGGAUGUAAAUUGUUUGGUAGGAAUUUCUUUUCUUUUUUUUUUUUUCUUCCUACACUAAAACUGUAUUGUUGUGAGCUUCCACCAGUUUUUGGGUAACAGUGAAUUUAGCAUUUGAAUACAUUGGUUAAACAUUGUGGAUGCUGCAUAGGAACGAUUUAGCAAUUGUUUAGUACCCAUACCCUGGCUGGGUCACAGUGUUUGAUCCUUUUAGAAAAUCUUCUUGGAAAAUUAACCCAUUAUUGUAAAUUUAAACCAUUACAAUAAUAAUGAUAAUGUGAUUUGUUCCUUAGAUUUCAGUUCUUAGAAAAAAAAUGGAUGGGUUGAAUGGCCGAACCGUCAUCUCCUUGAAGCAGAUACUUCUCCCUCAAUGUAUCCAAAAAUGUUGUAUUAUGUCCCCACAAAAGGUAAUGUCCUGGGCUCUUUAUAACAAUGUAUUACUGGUUGAUAGUAAGUCAUGGAACAUUGUGAAUGAUAACAAUGCAUAGCUCAUCCAGUGUCAUGUGUGAACUCCUUCCUUUUGGUUGCUUCUCGUCUGUUGGAAACAAAGGGAUCAUAUUAGAUUGAACAGAAGUUUUAAUGGGUGUCCGGAUUUGAUAUAUAAAGGUCAUUUUGGCUCAAAAUUCACAAAAAGCUUUGAAUCACCCAUUGAUGGUAUUGCACAAAGGAUGCUAUUGAUAAGCGGAAAGCAAGCAACAUUAGUAAUUGUUUUAUUAUUUCUUUACCCCUGAAGCAAACUCUCCAUUUUGUCAUCUUGGAUUUUUUUAAUCAAACCCAUCAUCUAAAAUUCAGGGUUUAGUUUCCACAAGAUGAGAAGCAUGGACUAGGCUUCUCAAGUGAAAGCUGCUUGAAAAGUUUUGAACUACCCUCUGGUUUCUUUUGUGUGCUCUGUAUAUUUGCAACAUUACUAUCCUGUUCUCUUCUUCUGAAUUAAAUGUUCCCAUUUCAGUUCUUCUGCAAGGUAACAUUUGAAGGAUUGGUGAUGAGAAAUCCAGCUUUUGGAUUGAUGAUUGCCCACUGCUCACUGCCAUACCUGUUGGGCUAUCCUCUUGUUGCGUGAAUGUUAAUAUGGUCAUGGGAAUUGCUUCCAAGGUCUAUCAAGAGGGGGAAAAAAGACGAAAAUGAAUUAAAAACCAUGGUAGAGUUUUAGGUUCUUUAGUCACAAGGCACAUGCUGUUGCAAGUAAAUGUUGGUGUUUCCUUUCAAUCACCGAUUUUGUUGAGAUAUUAUAAUACCAAUGCGUUGAUAAAAGAUCACUCCGGAAAUUAAGAUUUCGUCUUUGAAAAAAA